AUUGAACGCUGGCGGCAGGCCUAACACAUGCAAGUCGAACGAGUGGCGGACGGGUGAGUAAUGUCUGGGAAACUGCCUGAUGGAGGGGGAUAACUACUGGAAACGGUAGCUAAUACCGCAUACCAUCGGAUGUGCCCAGAUGGGAUUAGCUAGUAGGGGGGGUAACGGCUCACCUAGGCGACGAUCCCUCGCUGGUCUGAGAGGAUGACCAGCCACACUGGAACUGAGACACGGCCCAGACUCCUACGGGAGGCAGCAGUGGGGAAUAUUGCACAAUGGGCGCAAGCCUGAUGCAGCCAUGCCGCGUGUAUGAAGAAGGCCUUCGGGUUGUAAAGUACUUUCAGCGGGGAGGCGGUACCCGCAGAAGAAGCACCGGCUAACUCCGUGCCAGCAGCCGCGGUAAUAC
rnacentral:rRNA from 1 species